rnacentral:rRNA from 1 species
AGAGUUUGGGUGCCAGCGGAGGGGGUAGGAGGGAGGUGUCAAGGGUGGUUCGCAUGCAUGGGGCUGACAGGGUGUGUAGGCGGUUUGGUAAGCCGUCUGUGAAGGCUUGGGGCCCAAGCCGUAAAGCGCAUGGGGUGCGUGCAGGCUAGGUGGUGGGAGAGGAGCGGGGAAUGCCCGGGGGAGCGGGGAAAUGCGUAGAGAUCGGGAGGAAGGCCGGUGGCGAAGGCGGCGCUCUGGAACAUACCUGACGCUGAGACACGAAAGCGUGGGGAGCAAACAGGAUUAGAUACCCGAGUAGUC